rnacentral:misc_RNA from 1 species
AACGCAUAUUGCACUCCCUGGUAUUCCGGGGAGUAUGCCUGUUUCAGUAUCAUGAACACAUCUCAGACCAAAGGAAGGGGGGGUGGAAACACUUCUUUCCUUUGGGCCCUGGAUUCUGGGCUCGCGAACCCAUCUCUCUCUCUCCCUUGUGUGAGAGAGAGAAAGGUCGACCAGCCUGAAACGCAUCCCCGCCGCGGGGGAAAUGGAAAAUAAAAAAGGCGUGAUAGUUUGAUGACCCUCUCUCGAGGGGAGUCGAUCUUUUCGCCGAACCAAAAAAACCCCCGGUGAUUGGUUAGCAGGACAAGGAACGACGGGUUGAAAAAAAGAGAGAAGAAGAAGGCGGGGAGGGAAACCUUCCUUCCUUCCUUCCUCUCUCUCCUCAAUCCGUGCGAUCUUUUCUUUUUCAACUUGAUCUGAAAUCAGGUAGGAGUACCCGCUGAACUUAA